CGCUGGGGAGGGGGAGCGCACCCAAUACUUCCUUCCCCACCUGCAGGGCUAUAGGGGCCUCAGUGGCCACUCACCUGCCGCCCCUCACCUGGGCCCGGCUUACCUGGGCUGGGGCCGCGGGGACGCCGCGGCAGGGGGCCUGGGCGCCGUCUCGGUCUUCGUCAGCCCGGCCCGGGGGGGGGCUCAGGGCGCCACAAUCAUGGGCCGGGAUACGAAAGGUGCCGCAAGGGGCUCAGUCGCCCCAAUCCUGGAGCUUUGAGAGGGCGCCACGAGGCUUCUUGCUGAGGACUGAACCAACACAACGCAUCUGAAGAGAGGAGGAAAGCAGCUGUUUGUAAUGCUCUGGUCCUUUUUCCUUGACACCUGGGGCUAAACCAUUCUUGCCAGCUCAAAGAGAGAAGACAUUCCUGGCUCUCUGGUCUGCAUUACAAUGGUCUUGUGGUACAGAACGAACCCCCACCCAGGGCCACUGGCAGACACAGGUCAAGUUAUUGCUGAUAAGAAAAACCAGGGGGUCCACCAGAACCCAAGACGCAUCAGACAGAAGAUGGCUCGGCAGCCCGGGAUGUACGGCAGCUGGAGGCGCUGGAUCAUUGACUCUCUCAAUACGUUUUUGGAGAACAUAUUCUGAAGUGAGAGACGCUGUGUUCCAGCGGGAGUGCUUAAUGAGCUCCCCAGUCCCCAGGUCGACAUACAACUCUGUCACUGUGGCCAGCAGGACACCACUGAGGAUGGGAAGUGCACUGUGAUCGCAGCGCCCAGGGAGAGAAACUGCUUCUCUGUGAGAGCGCAGAGCUGCUGAGCUGCUCGUACUGGGGCCGCUUUGAGCUGGAAAUUCCGUUUCUUGCAGCGGAAAGUGUGCCAACCCGAAUGAG